UACGUAGGGGGCGAGCGUUGUCCGGAUUUAUUGGGCGUAAAGAGCUCGUAGGCGGUUUGGUAAGUCGGAUGUGAAAUCUCCAGGCUCAACUUGGAGGGGUCAUUCGAUACUGCCAUGACUAGAGUUCGGUAGGGGAGUGUGGAAUACCUGGUGGAGCGGUGAAAUGCGUAGAUAUCGGGAGGAACACCUAUGGCGAAGGCAGCUCGCUGGGACGUUACUGACGCUGAGACGCGAAAGCGUGGGGAGCGAACAGG
rnacentral:rRNA from 1 species